rnacentral:lncRNA from 1 species
UCACAAAUGCGACCCUCCAAUAACAUGACAACAUCUGUCACUUUUCUUCCAUCUCAGCACUGUUGAAAAGAAGAACAAAAAAGGAUAUCGGGAUUCCUCUUUUCCAAUCAACCAAACCAGGUCCUCUCCUCUCCUUCUGCCCAGCCGCCAACUGAUUUUUGUCUACAACUUGUCAACCUGGGUUUUUACUCCAAAUCCGAAUCAAACCCAACGCAGAAAAUAUUCUCCUCUUCCUCUCAAAAAAUCUGAAAUUCUUAAACAUCCCUAUGCGAUUACGGAUCAAGAAAAUGGGGAAGUGGGUUUUGGUUAUGUGGUGGGGUGAAUUUAAAGACCCAGAUGAGGGAAGGUUAUACAGAUAAGGGAGGGGUUGGGUGGUUGUGGUUGUGGUUGAGGAUGUGUAAGGGUUUGGUACGGCGAGAUUUGCAGGGCUCGGCGGCGGUUGGGGUUUCUGCAAGGCUAGAUGGGUUGUAUCGGGCUUGGAGCGGCGGGGCUUGUGGUGGUCGGCGAUAAGUUUGAUGGCGGCAGACGGGCAAUAAGUUUGAUGGCAGAGAGUUUUACACGGCUUAAUGGAGGCGGUGGGUUUAUGCAAGGUUAGAUGGCGGCGUGUUGUGGUGCUCGGCGGCGGGAUUGUAGGUUUGAUGGCGGCGGACGGGUAAAGGAGAAGACCUGAAGCCAAUUUGAAAAUUAAGGAGCAGUAUGGUUUCGAUCAGUUGCAUGGAUUCCUUUUGCUAUGUUUCUUAUCAUAUUUCUAGGGAGCUGUGCUCCUUUUGAUAUGGGUGUUGAUGCUGAUGUUCAUACUAUGAGAUUUCUGGUUUGGUUUGAUCGGAGAUCUGCAAAUCCGAUUUCCAUUUUUUUCUUUGUUCUCAGUAAAGAGCUGAGGUGGAAAAAAAAUGAUAGGUGUCAGUCUGUGACUGAGGGUCGCAUAAGACACGUGGUACGUUUACCCCACGGAAGAUUUCCUCGACCAUGAAUGCUCUGUACUUCUUCUUUUUGCAGAAAGCACAGAAAAAAAAAGAGAUGUUUAUGAGACUUAAAUAAACAUCACGAAGACCAAGUCCUCAAAUAAGAGUACAUCUUUUUCUUGAGAAAAAAGAGAUUCAAUUGCAGUUGUGGUACUCAAAACCUGUUACUGCACGUACUGAAAAUAGCUACUACUACAUUUGUUGCUACUGCACUUACUGAAGUUGCUACUACAUUAGCUGAGCCACUGAAAAUCUGAUACUGCACUUACUGAAAAUCUGAUACUGCACUUACUGAAGCUGUUACUGAAGUUGCUACUACAUUAACUGAGCCACUGAAAACCUGCUACUGCACUUACUGAAGCUGCUACUACAUUAGCUGAACCACUAAAACCUUGCUACUACAUAUGUUGGAAGUGUAGCUUUCCAGGAAAACAUACUACUACAUUAGCUAAGCCACUGAAGACCUGCUCCUACACUUACUGAAGCUGUUACUACACUAGCUGAACCAUUAAAACCCUACUACUACAUCUGUUGGAAGUGUAGCUUUCCAACAAAACAUGCUACUACAUUAGCUGAGCCACUGAAAACCUGCUACUACUUCUACUGGGAUGUUAACCUUUACUACUACUUUCUACUGGAAGGUUAACCCCUGCUACUACUUUUACUAGAAUUAACUGCUAGUUCUACCCCUGCUACUACUUCUACUAGAAUUAACUACUACUACACAAAGUUAUUGAAAACCUGCUACUGUAUUCCAUUUACUGAAAAAUCUCAAAAUGAUAGACUUUUCUCUUCUAAAAGCAUAUUUAAUUAGUGUAGGGUUAGUUUGAUAAAUUAAAUCAUGACACAUGUCAUGCAGAGAAAAGAUUGUCCUUAAUUUUUAAAUUAAUUGUUAAAAACUGUCAUUGUUUGUUUAACAACAACACAAGUGGAUUUAUUUGUGUUUCAAUUCCUUUUAGAGGAUGUAUAUGUGAUUUGCUUUAAAUUCUUAGGUUCAUUCUCAACGUUAAUUCUAAAGUCAACUAUGUUGCUGUGGGUGUUGACUAAAAACUCAACAAGUACAACAAACGAGAAACUUGGGGAAAACGGUAAUCCAUUAUAUUGUUUAACAACUGUACAAUGACUUAAACCAUCAAAAGAAGUCAUUACAUAAAGUGUGUAAAAUAUUUCCUUCACACGAGUAUAUAUACUACACAUGCCUCACAGACCCACAUUUAUGAAAAAAGAAAAGAAGAUGAGCAAAAAGAAAAGAAGACGCACAAUAUGAAUCCAGACACGCAACAGAUUCGUGGAAGCAGCCAACGUAGCCACACAACAAUAACCAAGAACAUCUGGCAAGUGGUGGCAAUAACCUAAAUAAACAUAAAAUAGGGGUAAGACAGUAAAAACACGCGGUCCUUAACUACAGUAACCCAAACAUAGUAUAUAGUAAAUUUAUGAAUAAAAUGGAAUAAUAAAAUUCUAUUUUGCUAGUUGAUCCUUCAUGAUAAACGAAGUAAAUAAUUUAAUCACCAUCCCUUGUGUAAAAAGAUGGAACACCAAAGUUUUUAUGAAAAUCUCUUAUAGGCUUACUGUUCAAAUGGAACCCUAUGAAAAUCCCUUUCCGUCCCUACUUCCCGUUCAAUCACGAAUCUGCCAUUGUGCCUCGCUUACCUCCACGCUAGCCGGUCUCCCUUCGCUCUGCGACAAACAAUUCUCUUCAAAAAUAGAUAGGAACACGCCAGAAGAAAAAAACCACGCACCGGUUUGGGAAAAGAGAGAGGGAGAGAGAAAUGGGCGAUCAGAGAAGAUAGAGAGAGAGAGAGAGAGAGAGNNNNNNNNNNNNNNNNNNNNUCGACGACGACGAUGCCGCGGGGAUUUGAAAGCAGCUUCUAGAGAGAGGGAGAGAGAGAGAGAGAGAGAGAGUAGUCUGAAAGACUUUGGAUGGAGUCUAUUGAUGAGAGAAUAAGAAGAGGGAAGGGCAGUUUUGUCUAUAAAAAUAAUAGAAAAGCUAAAAAUUUUGUUAGAGGGAAGAAAUUACUAGGAGUGUUAUGGUUAGUGGGAAUUUUAGAUUCUUAUUUUGUUAGUGGGAAAAAAUUUCUUAUAAUUAGGGCAGAUGGGAAUUUUCCCAUUUUUCUUUUCACUCAAACACACUAGUCAGAUAUAUAUGUAUUUUUCAUCUUAUUUAUCAUUUUCAUGUUUAAGAAUUUGAAAUAAACAAUAAAUUUGUAAGGAUUUCUCAAUAACAACACAAGUAAUAGAUAUGAACAUCUAUAAAAUGUUAAUUAAUAUAAAUAUAUACUAAUUAUACAAUAAUAAUAGUGUUAAUAUAGUCACAUUAUACGAUAUUUCAUAGAUUUUUAGAUUAAAAGUAGGAUUAAAUUCAGUGUAUUACCCUGAACUUUGGGUCACUCAUCAGGUGUGUCUCUCUUCUUCUUUUUUCAUCAGGUGACCCUUAAACUCUUAAAAUCGAUCAAGCUGAGACAAAAAUUCAAAUUUCAUCAGUUUAUGACAUCAGCGUCCGACGUGGAGGAGACAAGAAUGGCCCACAUAUCAGUCUUCAACCCCUAUUUUGGCGAAAAGACCAAACUAGCCAUUGCUCCUAUUUUCUUUCUCUGAACUUUGAUACAGACCAAACCCAGAAAAAAAAAACACGGAUCAAUUUUCUCACUUUCUCUCUCACUUCGUUCCCGACCCAGAACCGCCCACAUAGAUCAACACCCAAAACCCAUAUCGAACAAGAUUGAAGACCCUGAUUGAAGAGAUGGUUGAGCCUGAUGUGUGGAUACCGAGAUUAACAAAUGACAAACAAGGAUUGUUGGAGGAAGCCGAAAAAAUCCCUAACUAUGGUGAGUGUUUAAUUUCGAUAUGAACAUUACGGCUUGUGUUUCGACUUUGUGCAAAGGUUAUUGGUUUUGAUUUUGGGGUUUAUUACCUUGAACUGUUUGAAAUUUUGAUUUUAGGGUUUAUGGGAGGUGGGUUUCGAUAUUUUGCUAUUAUUGUGAAGAGAUAAGGAUGGUAUUUUAUUGUUGAUGGUGGGUGACGGAAGAAAAAAAAACAGAGAAAGGAGAAAGGGGAGAGAGAGAGAGAGAGAGAGAGAGAGAGAGAGAGAGAGAGAGAGAGAGAGAGAGAGAGAGAGAGAGAGAGAGAGNN